rnacentral:rRNA from 1 species
GACGAACGCUGGCGGCGUGCUUAACACAUGCAAGUCGAACGGAAAGGCCCUGCUUUUGUGGGGUGCUCGAGUGGCGAACGGGUGAGUAACACGUGAGUAACCUGCCCUUGGCUUUGGGAUAACUUCAGGAAACUGGGGCUAAUACCGGAUAGGAGCUCCUGCUGCAUGGUGGGGGUUGGAAAGUUUCGGCGGUUGGGGAUGGACUCGCGGCUUAUCAGCUUGUUGGUGGGGUAGUGGCUUACCAAGGCUUUGACGGGUAGCCGGCCUGAGAGGGUGACCGGCCACAUUGGGACUGAGAUACGGCCCAGACUCCUACGGGAGGCAGCAGUGGGGAAUAUUGCACAAUGGGCGGAAGCCUGAUGCAACAACGCCGCGUGCGGGAUGACGGCCUUCGGGUUGUAAACCGCUUUCGCCUGUGACGAAGCGUGAGUGACGGUAAUGGGUAAAGAAGCACCGGCUAACUACGUG